rnacentral:rRNA from 1 species
UGGGGAAUAUUGGACAAUGGGCGGAAGCCUGAUCCAGCAACGCCGCGUGAGGGAUGACGGCCUUCGGGUUGUAAACCUCUUUCAGUACCGACGAAGCGAAAGUGACGGUAGGUACAGAAGAAGGACCGGCCAACUACGUGCCAGCAGCCGCGGUAAUACGUAGGGCCCGAGCGUUGUCCGGAAUUAUUGGGCGUAAAGGGCUCGUAGGCGGUUUGUCGCGUCGGGAGUGAAAACAGCGGGCUUAACUCGUUGCUUGCUUUCGAUACGGGCAGACUAGAGGUAUGCAGGGGAGAAUGGAAUUCCUGGUGUAGCGGUGAAAUGCGCAGAUAUCAGGAGGAACACCGGUGGCGAAGGCGGUUCUCUGGGCAUUACCUGACGCUGAGGAGCGAAAGUGUGGGGAGCGAACAGGAUUAGAUACCCUGGUAGUCCACACCGUAAACGUUGGGCGCUAGGUGUGGGGUCCUUUCCACGGAUUCCGUGCCGUAGCUAACGCA